UGUGUGUGUGAGGGGGGGUGCUGAUAAGUCCCUGGCUUCGGGUAAAAAAAAAUACAGGAGGAUCAGUUAAUUAUGAUUUCGUUCAACUUAUGUAUUUCCCUCUCA